UCGCCCUUCGGGGUGCAGCAGGCGCGAAAACUUUACAAUGCUGGCAACAGCGAUAAGGGGACCUCGAGUGCCAGGAUACAAUCUUGGCUGUCGUGAUGCCUAAAAAGCAUUACAUAGCAAGGGCCGGGCAAGACCGGUGCCAGCCGCCGCGGUAACACCGGCGGCUCGAGUGGUAACCGCUAUUAUUGGGUCUAAAGGGUCUGUAGCCGGCCGGAUAAGUCUCUUGGGAAAUCCAGCAGCUCAACUGUUGGGCUUCCAGGGGAUACUGUUCGGCUCGAGGCCGGGAGAGGUGAGAGGUACUUCAGGGGUAGGGGUGAAAUCUUGUAAUCCUUGAAGGACCACCAGUGGCGAAGGCGUCUCACCAGAACGGUCCUGACGGCAAGGGACGAGAGCUAGGGGCACGAACCGGAUUAGAUACCCGGGUAGUCCUAGCCGUAAACGAUACUCGCUAGGUGUCAGCCACGGUGCGACCGUGGUUGGUGCCGUAGGGAAGCCGUGAAGCGAGCCACCUGGGAAGUACGGCCGCAAGGCUGAAACUUAAAGGAAUUGGCGGGGGAGCAC
rnacentral:rRNA from 1 species